UACAGAGGUCCCAAGCGUUGUUCGGAUUCACUGGGCGUAAAGGGUGCGUAGGCGGCGAGGUAAGUUUGAUGUGAAAUCUCCGGGCUUAACCCGGAAAUGGCAUUGAAUACUCUCUCGCUAGAGGGUUGGAGGGGGGACUGGAAUUCUCGGUGUAGCAGUGAAAUGCGUAGAUAUCGAGAGGAACACCAGUGGCGAAGGCGAGUCCCUGGACAACUCCUGACACUGAGGCACGAAAGCUGGGGGAGCAAACAGG
rnacentral:rRNA from 1 species